rnacentral:rRNA from 1 species
CACGUAGGGGGCGAGCGUUUGUCCGGAUUUAUUGGGCGUAAAGAGCUCGUAGGUGGCUCGGUAAGUCGGGUGUGAAAUUUCGAGGCUCAACCUCGAAACGCCACCUGAUACUGCUGUGGCUAGAGUCCGGUAGGGGAGCGUGGAAGUUCCUGGUGUGAGCGGUGAAAUGCGCAGAUAUCAGGAGGAACACCAGCGGCGAAGGCGGCGCUCUGGGCCGGUACUGACACUGAGGAGCGAAAGCGUGGGGAUCAAACAGG